rnacentral:tRNA from 1 species
GCCUGUAGCUCAGUGGUUAGAGCAGAAGACUCAUAAUCUUUUGGUCGAGGGUUCAAGUCCCUCUGGGCCC